ACCUCCCAUCCGUGUUCUAUCUGUACCCUGUUGCUUCGGCGAUGGCCACGGCCCGCCGAAGACUAACAUUUGAACACUGUCUGAAGUUUGCAGUCUGAGUUUUUAGUUAAACAAUAAUUAAAACUUUCAACAACGGAUCUCUUGGUUCCGGCAUCGAUGAAGAACGCAGCGAAAUGCGAUAAUUAAUGUGAAUUGCAGAAUUCAGUGAAUCAUCGAGUCUUUGAACGCACAUUGCGCCCCCUGGUAUUCCGGGGGGCAUGCCUGUCCGAGCGUCAUUGCUGCCCUCAAGCACGGCUUGUGUGUUGGGCUUCCGUCCCUGGUAACGGGGACGGGCCCAAAAGGCAGUGGCGGCACCAUGUCUGGUCCUCGAGCGUAUGGGGCUUUGUCACCCGCUCCCGUAGGUCCAGCUGGCAGCUAGCCUCGCAACCAAUCUUUUUAACCAGGUUGACCUCGGAUCAGGUAGGGAUACCCGCUGAACUUAAGCAUAUCAAUAAGCGGAGGAAAAGAAACCAACAGGGAUUGCCUCAGUAACGGCGAGUGAAGCGGCAAGAGCUCAAAUUUGAAAUCUGGCCCCUUCGGGGUCCGAGUUGUAAUUUGUAGAGGAUGCUUCGGGUGCGGCCCCCGUCUAAGUGCUCUGGAACGGGCCAUCGGAGAGGGUGAGAAUCCCGUCUGGGACGGGGUGUCCGCGUCCAUGUGAAGCUCCUUCGACGAGUCGAGUUGUUUGGGAAUGCAGCUCUAAAUGGGUGGUAAAUUUCAUCUAAAGCUAAAUACUGG
rnacentral:rRNA from 1 species